rnacentral:rRNA from 1 species
GAUGAACGCUGGCGGCGUGCCUAAUACAUGCAAGUCGAGCGAACAGAUAAGGAGCUUGCUCCUUUGACGUUAGCGGCGGACGGGUGAGUAACACGUGGGUAACCUACCUAUAAGACUGGGAUAACUUCGGGAAACCGGAGCUAAUACCGGAUAAUAUUUCGAACCGCAUGGUUCGAUAGUGAAAGAUGGUUUUGCUAUCACUUAUAGAUGGACCCGCGCCGUAUUAGCUAGUUGGUAAGGUAACGGCUUACCAAGGCGACGAUACGUAGCCGACCUGAGAGGGUGAUCGGCCACACUGGAACUGAGACACGGUCCAGACUCCUACGGGAGGCAGCAGUAGGGAAUCUUCCGCAAUGGGCGAAAGCCUGACGGAGCAACGCCGCGUGAGUGAUGAAGGUCUUCGGAUCGUAAAACUCUGUUAUUAGGGAAGAACAUACGUGUAAGUAACUGUGCACGUCUUGACGGUACCUAUCAGAAAGCCACGGCUAACUACGUG